rnacentral:misc_RNA from 1 species
GAUGAAGAACGUAGCGAAAUGCGAUACGUAAUGUGAAUUGCAGAAUUCAGUGAAUCAUCGAGUCUUUGAACGCACAUUGCGCCCCCUGGUAUUCCGGGGGGCAUGCCUGUCCGAGCGUCAUUUCUGCCCUCCAGCCCGGCUGGGUGUUGGGCGCUGUCCCCCCGGGGACACGCCCCAAAGGCAGUGGCGGCGCCGCGUCGGGUCCUCGAGCGUAUGGGGCUUUGUCACCCGCUCGGGACGGACUCGUCGGCGCUGGUCUUCCUCCAGGCGACCCUUCGGGGCUCGUCUUCCUUCGGUUGACCUCGGAUCAGGUAGGGUUACCCGCUGAACUUAAGCAUAUCAAUAAGCGGAGGA